rnacentral:rRNA from 1 species
CCCUUAGAUGUUCUGGGCGGCCCGCGCACUACAAUGGCGCUUUCAGCGAGUUCCUAUGUUGAAUUUUCCUGGGUAUUCUUGGAAGCGGCGUCUUGACUUGGGAUAGAUCCUUGUAAUUGUUGGUUUUGAACGAGGAAUUCCUUGUAAUCGCGGUUGAUCAGCUCGCGUUGAAUACGUCCCUGCCCUUUGUACACACCGCCCGUCGCUCCCACCGAUGAAUCGUCCGGUGAAGUUCACAGAGUGGCGGUUCGUGGAGUUGCUCGCGAAGUGAAAUGGACCUCACGAUUUAGAGGAAGGAGAAGUCGUAACA